GUCAAUGGCCGAGUGGAUAACACGAUGGCAUUUGAAGCGAAAGGCACUGGGUUCGAGUCCCAGAGUGAACA
rnacentral:tRNA from 1 species